rnacentral:misc_RNA from 1 species
CCGAGUUAGGGUCCUCUAGGGCUCGACCUCCUACCCUUUGUCUACCUUACCUUUUGUUGCUUCGGCGGACCCGUCUCUCAGGGGACCGCCGGAGAGCUCACGCUCUCUGGCCCGCGUCCGCCGGCGGCGCACAAACCAAAACUCUUGUUUAAACGUGUCGUCUAAGUACAAAAACAACGAAGUAA